rnacentral:misc_RNA from 1 species
UCAAAACAAAAUGGAUGAAAUGGAUGAGUGCGACGGGUGUGUCAUGUGACUGGAAGGUUCCUAACAAAGUGAAAGGCAAGUUCUAUAGAAUUGUGGUUAGGCGACCUAUGUUGUAUGGGAGUGAAUGUUGUGUAUCUAACAUAUAACAUAUCCACAACAUGAAUGUGGUAGAGACAUAGAUGUUAAGAUGGAUGUUCAGUAUUGCAAUAAUGGAUAAGAUUUGGAAUGACCAAAUCUGCCAAAGAGUGCAUGUAACACACAUUGAGGAUAAAAUGAAAGAGUAUUAAUUAAGAUGAUUUGGACAUGUUCAACUUAGAGAAUCAAAUGCUCUAGUACGGAAAUUUAAUAAAUUAGUAAUGGAAGGAGUGAGAAAGAAAAGGGAAAGAACUAAAAUGAUAUGGAAGAUAAUAUAAAAAAUUUACAAUUUUUUAAAAUUGAUGUAGAAAUGGGUUUCAAACAAAGCUAAAUGGGGAAAAAGGAUCCAUACAGCCAAUCCCAACUAGUUUGUGAUUAAGACUUACUUGUUAUUGUGAAGUAUAAAAAAUCUAAAUUAUAAUCCAUUCUUGGUCUAUGUUGCAAGUUUGAAGUAUUCUCAAGUUGUUUUAAGAAUAACCCCAGUUGAUACCAUCAGAAGUUGUUAAUGAUCUAAUCAUUUUAGCUAAGAACUGAUGCAAACUGCUUAACAUAGAAUCAUAAGGAAUUUGAAAAUGCUUGGCAGCUUAACCCUUUGGUUUGUAAACAUUUCAAAUCUUAUGCGCAUAAGGUGGAUUUGAAGGAUGUGGUAAUUACUACUACCCAUUGAACUUUGGGUGUGAAUAUAUGUGCCCAGAUCUAAGCCAGGCCAGGCAAUCCAACUGUCUCAUCUUAAGCAAAUAGCACUCAAUUUUUUAAUUAUUUACUUGACAUUUUAUUUUCUUGCUUGAUUUAUCUAUUUUCUAAAAAAUUAUUUUUCUAUCCAAGUGCAGAUUUUUAUUUUAUCAUCUUUUUUUUUUUUUCUUUCUUCAAAGUUUUGCUUCCCAGCUAUUGUGACUGUUUUAUGGUUGUAGGUUUUGAAUUGCCAUGAUUCUGUCAUUUACAUCUUGGCACCCUUGAGAUAUGCCACCAUCUAUGGAUGCUCUGAUGCUACUAUAUUUCUUGGUGCUGUUGGCAAGGCUGUAAGGAUUGAGCACUGUGAGCGGGUUCAUGUGAUUACAGCAGCAAAGCGAGUCUGUAUUGCCAAUUGUCGUGAAUGUGUGUUCUUUCUUGGGGUAACCCAGCGACCACUCAUGGUUGGUGAUAACCAUAAGCUGCAGGUGGCACCUUACAAUACAUAUUACUCAGAGUUGGGGGAGCACAUGGCUGAAGUGGGCAUUGACACAACUAUUAACAGAUGGGAUGAUCCUUUGGCCUUGGGAGUGGUUGACCCACAUGAUUCAUUAUCUCAUCCUGCAGGUGUCUCUGAUGUUCAAGCUGAGUCAGCUACACGCCUGGACCCUGAUCAAUUCACAAGUUUUCUGAUUCCAAACUGGUUUGGCAGUGAAUCUACUGGGUCAACAAAAGAUAACCCUUUUCCAUUACCGGAAGCCUACAUGUCAUCUCAGCAGAGAAAUCAAAAGAAUUUGGGGGUCAUAAAGCAAUUACUGAGGGAAGCUCCCCUUGAAGAAAACCGGAAACGGGAACUAUCAUGUGCACUGCAUCUACUAUUCAAGGACUGGUUAUAUGCUUCAGGCAAUAUCCGCCAGCUUUACUGCCUUCAAGGUGAUUGAUGUUGAGUAACGAAUGCAUCACAUAACCAAGGAUGGUAACAGAAGGAAGCUUUCUGGUGCUUUUUCCGUUGCAUCCCCAUUUUAGUUAGUACUAGAGGCAGCUGAGAAUCAUCCCUAUCUACUUUGGAAUCGAACGCAUUUGUCCGAUGACAGUGGUGCACAGAAUACGCUAAUCUCAUUGUAAUAUUUUUUGAAAGGUAAAAUCUUGCUAUAAUAUUUUGUUAACCUAGGUUCCCAAUCUUGUGAAUUUUCAUCUCUUUUAUUUCUUCCAUGUGAAAUGUUGGAAUUUUUUUUAGUUCACCUUUCAAGUUUUGCCUAUGGGCUGGUUGUUAAUAUUCUGUCAUUCUCUGGCAUUAUUAUUAUUAUUAUUAUUAU